GUAGUUGUGGUUCAGUGGUAGAGCGCUUGCCUAGUGUGUAUGAGACACUGGGUUGGAUCCUCAGCACCACA
rnacentral:tRNA from 1 species